UACGUAGGUGGCAAGCGUUGUCCGGAUUUAUUGGGUUUAAAGGGUGCGUAGGCGGUCAUGUAAGUCAGUGCUGAAAUAUCCCGGCUUAACCGGGAGGGUGGCAUUGAUACUGUAUGACUUGAGUAAAGUUGAGGUUGGCGGAAUUGACGGUGUAGCGGUGAAAUGCUUAGAUAUCGUCAAGAACACCUAUUGCGAAGGCAGCUAACUAAGCUUUAACUGACGCUGAGGCACGAAAGUGUGGGGAGCAAACAGG
rnacentral:rRNA from 1 species